UUGGCCUCACUACUGUUUGGGAAGACCAGCUUUCUUACCUUUUAUCACCGGCUUUGGCGUCUUACGAAUUUGAGCGAACAACAAGUGUAUCUGCAGGCAACGAAGAAUUUCAGGAUGCCAUAAGGAGGGCUGUACCCCAUGGUCACACAUUUAAAGGGUUCCCAAUACAUUUUGUAUAUAGAAAUGCAAGGCGUGCAUUUGCCACAUGUCUUCGGUCUCCUUUUUGUGAAGAAAUAAUCUGUUGUCGUGGAGACCAGGUGCGGCUGGCAGUUCGUGUUCGAGUAUUUACUUACCCUGAAUCUGCAUGUGCUGUUUGGAUCAUGUUUGCUUGUAAAUAUCGCUCGGUAUUAUAGGACUAAUGUUUCUGUAAGAAGUAUAUCUGCUUUAUUUGAGUUGUAUAUUACUGGCUGUCUGAAAGUUUCUUGUUUUAUUUAUUUAUUUAUUUUUAAUUUAUUUUUUGAGACAAGGUCUCACUAUGUGGCCCUGAAUGACCUGCAACUUGCUAUGUAGACCAGAUUGGCCUCUAACUCACAGAGAUCCACGUGCCUCUGCCUCCCAACUGCUGGGAUUAAAGGCUGUGUGCUACUAUGCCCAGCACAGUUUCUUAUUUUAAAGUUAGCAUCUGGUAUGGAUGUCAUUAUUUGUCUUGUAUAGACCUGAGUGA